UAAAGGAUUAUUUUAAAUUUAGAAUUUUUGACUCUUAAUCAAAAGGUUUUCUCCUUUGU
rnacentral:tRNA from 1 species